UGGAGUUACAGGAGGGGGAGGGGAGUCCUCAGAGCAGCAGGAAUGGGUAUCACUCCCCACCCCCGAGGUGGGAGGGUGCCACCCUCAUGCCGCCGUCGUGGAGGGGUCACCUAGUACCUUCCUGCUGUCACCUAUGUGCGCCUGGAUUCCCCACCUGUGCUGCCCUCACCAACCUCCAGGGGCGUCUGGAAUCUGGAGAAGCUGAAGGUUAAGGGGUGCAUGCAGGUGUUGGGAAUGAUCCAGGGGUGCAAGUGUGAUGCAUCACAUAUUGAAAGAGGGCGGGAGAGAGGAAGUAUGCCUUUAUCCAUGUGUAAAUCAGGAGACAGAUGACAGAGCCACUCUUGACUCCCUCCUAGGUCUUCCUCCAUCUCUUUUAUGAGCGUUGUGAGUCCUUCCCAUCUAUAGCAGUGAAUUUCCAACUCAAGGAAAAAGAAAAAGCCCAUAAGUAAAUUAAGUCCUUCUCCCGUGCUACCUGUAUUGGGGCCACUGAGACCAAAGGGUCUCAUUUAUUAUUUUUACAGAUGAGCAAAUUGUUUCCACCCUUUGUCUCAUCCUCUGAAGCAUGGGCUUAUGUGGACUUGAGGGGCUCUGUCCAGAAGAUGCCAUCUGUGACCCCAGAAGGGACCAAGUCCCGCUGACAUGUGCCCCUCAGUGUGGCCUCUAAGCAUCUACCUGAGGGAGAUGAGUCCUCCUUUAAAGACCCUGGAAGCAGACCCUUGAGGGUGCUCAUCUGGCCCCCCACUUUCUUUCCUUAGUGUUCCAAGACUGAUUGUUAGGGCGACCUCAGAGUGCUCCAUGGCAGAAUGAUGUGAGUGUUGGUGUCCAGCCCUGUACCGUGUGGGCUCCUAGAAUCCAUCCAGGGUUGGUAGGUGUGGCUGGGAUGUUGAGAAUGUGCUAAGAGUACGUGGGGGUGAGGUGGGGAACUUGGAGGCUUGAAGACCCUCUUCAGUCUCCCUCUGAGCUCCCAGAACAGGCCACCGAGAACCAGGUCAGAGGAUGUUUCCAAUCACUGGGCGCUGACGGUGUGAUGGACACACGGCAGGUCUGUGCUGUCGUUAUCAGGAAAAGUUUGCUGACAGUUCUGUUAAAACACUGCCUUAAUUUGGGUUGUUCUGGAAGCAGAGCUGACAGGAGGAUGUGAG